AUGACUAUACACUACACUAUACACUACUAUACUAUAUGUGUACGAUCCUCAGACGUUGCUGGACGUAUCACUGCUACUUUCAUUGGUGCUGUCAUCUGUGCUGUCGUGAUCACCAUUCUACUUGUGGUGACCGUGGGCAUCCUUCUCUACAGAAUCCACCGCAAACGCUUCCCCUGGGGAAGAAAUCCUGUUACAAGUGAGAACAUAGCUUUGAAUAAUGAUGAAGAGCGUUUGAAUCUGUUGAGAUAUAAUUCACUGUGCAGUAAUAUCUCCGUUCAUGAUGAAGUGAAUGUAAGUCAUUCUACGUUACUAAGUCUAUCCCACACUCUUGUUGUUGUUGUUGUGUUUUUCAUUAUUGUGGAAAGCGCGCAAGCCCCGAAACAACGGGUCCAUGGUUUUCUGGAGGAAGCUGGGGGGGACAUAAAGACCGUGUGGGAGGGGAGGAGGGCGCCUUUAGGUGCUUGAAGUGUUGUCUAGGUGUGGGGACGGAAUUCUCGGUGUCCACCUUUGAAGGUGUUUUCUGACGGUGGUGUAGAGUGGUAGCUUUUAUGUAAAAAUAUAUGAGGGGGGUGUGAGGAAGCAACCAGCAUUCUAUGGGGAGAUCAGUUCUGGAGAGAGUGGAGAGGUUUUCCGUACCUGGGCAUUCCAUGGCUGUACCGGAGGAAUUCCGAU